GCGGGGUUCCGGGUCGCGGGACGGCCUCCGCUCUGGCGCGACAGUGGGACGGGAGCGGUGGCCCCGAAACCUGGCGGAGCGGAGCCGCAGGAGCUGAGCCCUGCUGCCGGAUGGCGGCGCGGGGGCGCGCCUGGAGCAGAUCCUCCCGCCGGCCUGGACUCCCGGUUCCUCGCGCGGAAAGUAGAAGUCUUAACUACUCCGUGGAUCCGAGGCACCUAGAAAGGGUGUUGGUGACCUUCAAGGAUGUGGCUGUGACCUUCACCCCAGAGGAGUGGGGGCAGCUGGACCUGGCCCAGAGGACCCUGUACCGGGAGGUGAUGCUGGAGACCUCUGCAAUCCUGGUCUCAUUGGGGCAUCAGGUUCCAGAGAUGCUCUACCUGCUGGAGCUCGGGCAGGAGCUGUGGGCAGUGAAGAGAGGCCUCUCCUGUAGCCCCUGUGCAGGCAUCUCCCCUUUGUGUACCCAGUUCCCCUCCGUUGGCAGAGCACAGUUGCAGACCAGAGUGUCAGCUGCUCGUCUGCCAGUCUUGGAGGAAACCUUGCUCCAGGAAGGCCGGACUCGGGGACCUCCAAGGGACUCCAGAUUAGGGCACCCCUGGGAUCCAGAAGGGCUCUUGGAACUGCAGAAAGAUCAAGCGCAGCCAGGGAAGGACUCUCCUGAAGACCUAGAGGGCGGCUUGCACCCCAGGGCAUCCCACGAACACACGUCUGCACACGUCCUCCACGGGGGAGCCUCUCAGCAGCUGGGGAGGGAAGCCUCCCUUGACGCCGGGUCAAAGCUGCACCAAUGCACGCAGUGCGGGAAGGGCUUCACCAGGAAGUGGUACCUGGCUCGACACCAGCGGGUGCACACGGGGCUGAAGCCCUACGAAUGCAGCGCUUGUGGAAAGGCUUUCGGUCACAGCUCGACCCUCAUUCGCCACUACUUCAUCCACACCGGGGAGAAGCCAUACACCUGCGCGGAGUGUGGGAAGGCCUUCAAGCGCAGGGCCUACCUGGCGCAGCACCGCCCCGUCCACACCGGUGAGAGGCCCUACGAGUGCACUCGGUGUCAGCGGGCCUUCGCCCACCGCUCCACCUUCAUUCGCCAUAGCAGGACCCACACGGGGGAGAGACCCUUUGAGUGCAGAGAGUGUGAGCGGGCCUUCAGCAGCAAGGCGUACCUGGUCCAGCACUUCAUCGUGCACACCGGGGAGAAGCCCUACGCGUGCGCACAGUGCGGCAAGGCCUUCCGCUGCAGCUCGGAGCUCUCGCAGCACCGUCGGGUGCACACCGGGGAGAGGCCCUACGAGUGUGCACAGUGCGGCAAGGCCUUCCACCGCAGCGUGUACCUGGCGCAGCAUGCGGUCGUCCACUCCAGGGAGCUGCCCCACAGGUGCCUCGAGUGCGGGAAGGCCUUCAAGCGCAGGUCACACCUCCUACAGCACCAGCGGGUCCACUCCUGAGAGACGCAGGGGCCCAGUCAGGAGCCCUGGUGCAGGGCCUCCUGCCUUUCAUAGUGGACCCACAAGGCAGCGAAAACCCCUCCAGUGGCAAGGGGGUGGGAAGCUGCUCCUGGUUCUUUGGCCAGCACUUGCUUAACUAAACAUGUGAGCGGUGGCCCUGGAGAGAAGCCCCCCUUGUUAGAGAUGCCAACCAAAGAGAAGCGGGGAAGGUCUUCACCAGAGGCUGGACCCUGGGACCUCAUGCUCAGGUUGACCCAAACCAGAAGGAACAUAUUGCCAUCCUGGAGUUCUUCGUGAGGAAUUGCCCCUGACCAUGUAAUGGUCACUGUGAGGAGACUCGUGGCAGAGCAUCACUUGCUUGUGCUGUGAAGUCAUGCUGGAGUCAGACUUGCUUUGGGAUUAGCUCUGUGAACCUAUUAAAGGCUUCAGUCUCAAGCCUCCAUGUUUAACCCCAGGAAGAUGUCUUAGUAUGGUUCAAAAAUGAAGCUGGAUACAAUGGCCCACACCUGUGAUCCCAGCUACUUGGGAGGCCGAGGCAGGAGGAUGCAAGUUUGAGGCCAGCCUUAGCAACGUAGACCCUGUCUCAAAGUAAAAGUAAGUAAGUAAAUAAAUAAAAAGGACUGGGACACAGCUCAGUGGUGGAGCACUUGCCUAGCAUGCCCAAGGCCCUGGGUUCCAGCCCCAGCACUGAAAAAAGAAAAAAGAAAAAAAAAGAACAAAUAGGAGCAGGUGGGAACAGGGUGAGAGAGGAAAAGCGAGUGUCAUCAUAGCCUCCUUCAGACUCCCUGCCAGGCCUCUCAGAGUUUUCUUCAGUUUUCUUCUCAGUACAGGAAUGUUUAGAGGUUUAGGCUCUGCACUUUGCUUUCUAUACUGUUCACAGCCGUCCUGUGGCAGGGGAGCUGUGUGGUAAGGGCAGCCCUUCAUUCACUGGAAACCCUUGUUCCAGCCCCUACUGGUGACUGGUUCUUUGUGAUAGGAAGGUUUGAGUUGUGGAUAGCCACAGUAUGAUGUCCACCACCAAAGACUGUGAGGCCUUGGCUCUUAAAAACAAGCUCCUUAUCCAUGUGGUUUUAACUCGCUGGUUUUCUGUAUUUUCUGGGUGGCAGGAUGGUCACCUUGCACCUGUUCAGCCGUACUCUUCCCACUGCUGUUUCUGGGACUUUUCAGCCCUGUGCAGGGGGUGGGUACUUGCCAGGCCACCCAGCAGUUGUCUAGAGGUUGAAUCGUAGCUAAAACACAGCUAAGGCACUUCACAGUGCAUCCAGGAGAGUACACCUGUAGAGGGGACUUGUCCUGUUGUACAUGCUCAGAGAAGUUUGCCGCAGGAUAACAUGCCUGGUGUUUUAGCAGGUGAGCUAGGACAUUUCCCACAGGUUUUCCUGGGUUCCACAGUUAACCACCAAGCAUGACAACCUGAAACCACUCCUGUGGUACUUUCUUUGAGUUAGUUUUCAAGCUACAUGAGACAAUCAGUGUUAGAUUAUUAAGUGUGUUGUAUGAAAAGCACAAGGUCUUCAUGUCCUCCCUUGAGCCUCUCAGCCUUUUCAGAGGCACAUCAGUGCUUCACGUUUCCAUAGCGGGCACAUUCUUUCACGUGGUGCUGUAUGCACAUGUUCGGUGAAUUAACAGCUGUUUCUGUUUUUGGGGCUGUUGCAUCACUUUCUGUUCUUUGGGGAAGAGAGUUGAUGCUGGCAGACCACAGCUCCCCCUUCGCUCUAGGAGGCUGUAGGUGUUGUGCCAUGUCUGUGCAUGCACUGAGCUUCUGGGUUCAAGCAAGUUGUGGAAAGCCCUCUAAAAACAUCUUGGUGCUUGAGGAAGGGUCUUUGCGGGCCUGGGGACGUGGCGUCAGUUUGCCCCUAAACAGGAGUGAUGUGUUUCCCUGGAUGAAGAAAACCCUGGAGUUUGUUCUCUCACAUUCCAACUCUCCAUAGACUCUUCCUGUGUGUUCAGCACACAGACCUCCCAUAAGCUUGCUGUGGUGAGGGCAGGAGGCUCAGAAGACAUUAUCUUGCAUCACAGCCACUCACUGGUGGGUCCCCAGAGAAGCAUCCCCAUGUGACUGCAUCACGGAUCCUGCCCCUGAGUAGGGAAGGAGCUUACUGUCUAGUGUAGGAAACACAUGAUAAAAACAGUUCCCAAAAGUUAGCCUGAUCUUGUUUUAUUAGCUAUUUUUAACUCAGCAAAAAUUUUAAGGCCUGCUUUCCAGAGCAUUCAGUUCUGCAUCUAGCUAAAAUACAUUUUCAUGCUUAUAAUUCAAUCUUUUUAUUGUGUUGCAUUAAUGGACAGGUCAGGUCACAAAUGCUGCUCUUGCAGAGCAGUCAGUGGGAAGAGAGGGGUGGGAGAGGCACCACCAGUGACCAUCCUCCGGGCAGCCAUCCUGACUGCUCUCCAGUUGGUAGACUCCACAAAGAGAGGCAGAGGAGGAACCAGCCUAGCAAGCCUGCAGAGACACACUGGAAAUGGUACUGUUCGUGGGUGAAGGAGAAAGUGCUCGAAGGCUCCUCCUGCAGCUAGCCGCUGGCCCCUGGGUGUGAGGUGCAAAGAGGGUUGGGGCUGUCAGUGUUCUUCCCUGGAGACUGACCAUGUGGACUUCAUGUUGAAAAUUUUAAGAAAUCACUGAGGAGCACGGCGUGUCAUGGAGCUGGAACAGUGAAGGAAGGCUGCAGAGCGGUGGGAGUGGUGUGGAGGAUGCAGCCAGAGCAUCAGGCCUUCAUCACACUCUCCAGGUUCUUCUCUCAGUUUUGUACAUUCUGGACAUUUUCCAUUACAUAGCAGCUUCUCAAAACUUCUCCAUCAUUUUAACAAGGAUCAUGGAGCCACUGGCCCAGGCCAUGAGGACCAGACUCAUCUACUCAGGAGGAAAAUAUAAGUUGAAUAUAAUGAGCUGUGUUCCCCUGGCAUUGACCAGGAACAGUGUCCAUAAUUGUUUUUCAGAGUAAAGAUUUUGCUAUUCAAUUGGCCAUUCACUAAUACAGCAACAUGAAUUUAUCAAGAGCUGCAGGAUCCAGCAAAUGAAAUUGCAGAAGCUGAUGAACUUUGGGAUUGAAUUUUGAGCAUGACCUACCAAGAUGUGGGUUGAGCUUAAUGGCCUGGAAGCCAUUGAGGAGGCAGAGAGUGCUGAAGGACACCCCUGUGGACACUCUGUGAAAACAGAAGACAACUUUACAUCAAGCAUCAUCCAGGAAAUAUAUUGUUUGAGGGAUCCUUUGGAGAAUAGGACCAAGCAGUUGGCUAUGGCCAAUUGACUGAGACUUAAGUCUAUGGGUCUCACCUUGUUUCCAGUGAGCAAGGAGAAGCUGUAGAAACAAAGGAGGGGGGAAUUUCCAAGGAUCCCAACUCCAGUCUGAGACAUGGCAGAGAGGACCCCCACAAGGAAGAUAAAUCCCAAUUCCAAAUUUCCAGCAUCCAUUUUUAUAUCAGCAUCUAGAGGGUGUUGAUUUUGACAGAAGUCAGAGGAAUCAGUGAGAAAGAAGCAGAAUGUCUCACACAGUGCUUUUCUGUGUCUUCACUCACACAUCCUUACUUUAAGUGGGCAUAGACUCUGCAUGCUUAUUUGUGCAGAGGUGACUCACUGAAGAACUGCAGUGGAAAUCACUUGGGCUCUGCUUGCAAGGGGAGAAGGACUGAGAGCAUGAGGUGGCCACAGACCUCUGCAGUGGCUGAGGGGAGUGGAGCUCUCUGCACAGAUCCAUCAGUGUGGGCUCAGAAUCCUUCCACCAUGACUGAGGAGUCAGGAAAGGGUUUGGGCAUAGCAAAUGUUGUUUGCUGGUGGAUGUUUUGCAAGAGAGACCAGAUGAAUGCUUACAACUGCACUCAGCUGAAAUGUCAUGUUGGGGUAUAAAAUGCAUAUGAGGAGAGAACUCAGACAUUACAGGCCAUCCCAGUUCACCAAGUGGUAUGGUCUAAAGCCAUUCACAUCUGUGUUACCAGCUCCUGUCUGGUUUUAGGUGGGCUCUGUCACCACUUCACAUGAGCUCACAAACUACAGCCCUUUCAACACCCACUGCCAAAAGCAAAUGAGACUUUCAAUGGUAGUUUUUAGGUGUUUCUCCAAUAUGAAACAUGUGAAACUAUGUUACAGUAUUUAGUAGACUUCUCUCUACUUUAAAAUAAAUUCACUGAUGAAAUUCCGCAGUUUCCCAGUAAACCCUGUGGUUUGUUUGUGGAAGUUUCGCCUACUUCUGAGGUUUCAGGAUGCAUAGCAUGACUGGCUUUAUGGUAUUUCCUUUGGGGUAGAUUCUUAAGUGAACAACCAUAGUCCUCACUUACUAAAUAUGCUGUUCUAGGGCAAGUAGAGGAGUACACUUAUAGGGGCAGAAAUCUGAUAAGAUGGUAGGACAAGAAUGAAAUUUUAUAGAAUUUCCUUGUGUGGUAGUU